AGAUAUAGAUAUACCUAGAUAACGCGAAUGCACCUACUUCGCGUGUCCCGGUCCCGAUAAAUCAUCGGAAGGAGCUGCCGCUGCUUACAGUCCACGCGCGUCUGUUGUUGCAUGCGGACCGGCCGCGAAAACUAGAAAAAUGCCUCAAUGUGUGAUAAUAAAUUGCAAUAAGCCAAAAACUUCGAGCUCCCAAAGGCAAGGACAUAUUUCCUAUCACGGGAGGUAAACGAGCAGACGGAUCACCUGAUGGUAAGUGAUUACCGUCGCCCAUAGACACCCGCAAACCCAGGGGCGUUACAGUUUCCCACAAGAUGCAAUAUUAAAAGAAAAAUGGAUCGCGGCUACGGGACGGAAAGACUGGUUUCCGACAAAACAUAGUACCAUUUGUUCAAUUCAUUUUGAAAGUACCUGUUUUGAACCUUCAAAAAAGAAGAGAUUGUUAAAAAAAACGGCAUGCCCCACUAUACAUAUUAUGUAUGUAUUUUCAUGUAAAAGUACUAAUAAAGUAAAGUACAUAAUAAUGUGUGUACAAACUUAUAAGAAAUAAUGAUCUGCUGAUGAUGUUGUAGAUUGUAGAGAAAUGAAUACAAGUAGUGUACGUGAUUUUGAUGAUUUUUAUAAAACAUUGCCACAAAUCAGAAUUUUGUGACCAAAUAAUCACAAUAUAUAUUGCUGGAUAUGUUAUAAGAGCAAUACAAAAUAUCUACGAGGCACCGUUGUCGAGAUAUUGAUAUUUUAUAAAAACUUAAAAUGUAUGUUAUUCACUAUUUAAAGUAAAUAUAACAUAUUAUUUUAAGUUUUUAUUAAUACGGGAUCGUGUCUAAAAUUAGCCUUUUGUAGUUAUUUAAUUGUGUUUUUUAAAAGAAAACUACAUGUGACUUUGUCUCAAAAUAAACUUAAACAGGAUGAAAUUAAUGAAUCAAAAAAAUUAAUUAUGUGUGACAACACUGGCGGCUCGAAAAAUGCCCGCGCAGCAACGAUGUAUUAUAAUAAGCAAUCUGUUUUAGAAUUAUACAUUUUUAUUUAAAAUUCAAUGAAAAUAUUAUCUAUUUAAACAUUUCGUUUAAUAUCAUUCGUCUGUAUAUCUCAUUCGUCUGUGUAUCUCAUUCGUCUGUGUAUCUCAUUCGUCUGUCAGAUAAUCGAUGCCAUUUCUGUGAUCGUAGCGGUGCGUUGGGGCAACGGCGGCAUCGGCAUCUUUGAAUCGAUUACGAUUUCCCGUCACUAAAUGUUGGCUGUGACGUCACAGUAGGUAUUAAAAAGUCGGCACGCUUGGUUUUAAUACAGAUCGUGUUACUUGCGUUAUCUAUGUAUAUCUAUAUCU